rnacentral:lncRNA from 1 species
UGUUGUUGUGGUGUUGUGUUGUGGUGUUGUUGUUGUGUCAUUGUGUUGUUGUGUCGUCACAUGUUGUUGUGGUGUUGUGUUGUGGUGGUGUUGUUGUGUCAUUGUGUUGUUGUGGUGUUGUGUCGUUGUUGUGUUGUGUUUUGGUGGUGGUGUGUCAUUGUGUUGUGUCGUGUCGUUGUGUUGUUGUGAUGUCGUCGUUGUGGCGUUGUGUCGUCACAUGUUGUUGUGGUGUUGUGUUGUGGUGUCGUGUCGUUGUGUCAUUAUGUCAUUGUGUUGUUGUGGUGUUGUGUCGUCGUGUCGUUGUGUCAUGGUGUUGUGGUGUUGUGUCGUGUUGUUGUGGUGGUGUGUUGUGGAGUUGUGUCGUUGUGUCAUGAUGUUGUGGUGUUGUGUCGUGCUCUUGUGUUGGUGCGUUGUGGUGUUGUGUCG